rnacentral:lncRNA from 10 species
CCAGCGGCCGCGACGCUAUGGCGCACUGGAGUACCCUGUUCCUGGCAGGGAGGAACAGGAAGAGAAGAGUGUGGCCUCCUAGAAAUCUAGCACGGAGAAAGACUGGUCUUGAACUCCUGACCUCGUGAUACUCAGCCUCCCAAAGUGCUGGGAUUACAGGAGUGAACCACCAAGCCCGGCUUGACCUCUUGGCUUUUACCAAAGGAUGUUUGCUUCUGAGGAAGCUGGAAGCUGCAGCCACAAUGUGCCUUUGCAGGGGAGCCUGAGAGCCACAGGAUGGAAUACAGGGGGGACAGUUAGAUUCUGAAUUGUUAAGCAGAGCUGCUUGAUGCAGAAGAUGAAGACACAAGAAAGAAUGAGCCUAGGCCGGGCACAGUGGCUCACGCCUGUAAUUCCAGCACUUCGGGAGGCCGAGGCGGGAGGAUCACUUGAGCUCAGGAGUUUGAGACCGGCCUGGCCACCAUGGUGAAACCUCGACUCUA